rnacentral:rRNA from 1 species
CCUACGGGAGGCUGCAGUGGGGAAUAUUGCACAAUGGGGGAAACCCUGAUGCAGCGACGCCGCGUGAGUGAAGAAGUACUUCGUUAUGUAAAGCUCUAUCAGCAGGGAAGAAAAUGACGGUACCUGAGUAAGAAGCCCCGGCUAACUACGUGCCAGCAGCCGCGGUAAUACGUAGGGGGCAAGCGUUAUCCGGAUUUACUGGGUGUAAAGGGAGCGUAGACGGCAGUGCAAGUCUGGAGUGAAAGGCGCGGGCUCAACCCCCGGACUGCUCUGGAAACUGUACGGCUGGAGUGCAGGAGAGGUAAGUGGAAUUCGUAGUGUAGCGGUGAAAUGCUUAGAUAUGAGGAGGAACACCGGUGGCGAAGGCGGCUUACUGGACUGUAACUGACGUUGAGGCUCGAAAGCGUGGGGAGCAAACAGGAUUAGAUACCCGUGUAGUC